rnacentral:rRNA from 1 species
GACGAACGCUGGCGGCGUGCCUAAUACAUGCAAGUCGAACGCUGAAGGAGGAGCUUGCUUCUCCGGAUGAGUUGCGAACGGGUGAGUAACGCGUAGGUAACCUGCCUGGUAACGGGGGAUAACUAUUGGAAACGAUAGCUAAUACCGCAUAACAGUAGAUAUUGCAUGAUAUCUGUUUGAAAGGUGCAAUUGCAUCACUACCAGAUGGACCUGCGUUGUAUUUGCUAGUUGUUGUGGUAACGGCUCACCAAGGCGACGAUACAUAGCCGACCUGUGAGGGUGAUCGGCCACACUGGGACUGAGACACGGCCCAGACUCCUACGGGAGGCAGCAGUAGGGAAUCUUCGGCAAUGGACGGAAGUCUGACCGAGCAACGCCGCGUGAGUGAAGAAGGUUUUCGGAUCGUAAAGCUCUGUUGUAAGAGAAGAACGAGUGUGAGAGUGGAAAGUUCACACUGUGACGGUAUCUUACCAGAAAGGGACGGCUAACUACGUG